UACGGAGGAUGCAAGCGUUAUCCGGAAUUAUUGGGCGUAAAGGGUCCGCAGGUGGUUUAUCAAGUCUGCUGUUAAAGCGUGGAGCUUAACUCCAUAUCGGCAGUGGAAACUGAUGAACUAGAGUUCAGUAGGGGUCACGGGAAUUCCCAGUGUAGCGGUGAAAUGCGUAGAUAUUGGGAAGAACACCAGCGGCGAAGGCGCGUGACUGGGCUGAGACUGACACUGAGGGACGAAAGCUAGGGGAGCGAAAGGG
rnacentral:rRNA from 1 species